rnacentral:rRNA from 1 species
UCCAGACUCCUACGGGAGGCAGCAGUGGGGGAUAUUGCACAAUGGGGGAAACCCUGAUGCAGCGACGCCGCGUGGGUGAAGAAGUAUUUCGGUAUGUAAAGCCCUCUCAGCAGGGAAGAAAGAAGACGGUACCUGACUAAGAAGCCCCGGCUAACUACGUGCCAGCAGCCGCGGUAAUACGCAGGGGGCGAGCGUUAUCCGGAUUCACUGGGUGUAAAGGGAGCGUAGACGGCCGUGCAAGCCAGGAGUGAAAGCCCGGGGCCCAACCCCGGGACUGCUCUUGGAACUGUGCGGCUGGAGUGCGGGAGGGGCAGGCGGAAUUCCUGGUGUAGCGGUGAAAUGCGUAGAUAUCAGGAGGAACACCGGCGGCGAAGGCGGCCUGCUGGACCGCGACUGACGUUGAGGCUCGAAAGCGUGGGGAGCGAACAGGAUUAGAUACCCCGGUA